rnacentral:rRNA from 1 species
AGUGAACGCUGGCGGUAGGCCUAACACAUGCAAGUCGAACGGCAGCACAGUAAGAGCUUGCUCUUACGGGUGGCGAGUGGCGGACGGGUGAGGAAUGCAUCGGAAUCUACUUUUUCGUGGGGGAUAACGUAGGGAAACUUACGCUAAUACCGCAUACGACCUACGGGUGAAAGCAGGGGAUCUUCGGACCUUGCGCGAUUGAAUGAGCCGAUGUCGGAUUAGCUAGUUGGCGGGGUAAAGGCCCACCAAGGCGACGAUUCGUAGCUGGUCUGAGAGGGUGAUCCGCCACACUGGGACUUAGGCACGGUCCCGAACCCUACGGGGGGGAAGAGGGGGGAAAUUUGGGAAAAGGGGGCAAGGCCGGCCCCGCCCAUACGGGGGUGGGAAAAAAGGCCUCCGGUUGUAAAAGCCCUUUUGUUGGGAAAAAAAACAGGCAGGUUAAACCCCCCCGUUUUGAAGGGAACCCAAAAAAAAAGCACCGCCAAACUCGUG